UUCCUCUUCUUUCUUUAUCUUCUCCCUUCUUCUCCUUUUCUCUUCUUUUCCCCUUUCUCUCUUUUUUUCUUUUCUUUAUGAUAUCUUUAUUUAUCUUCCUUCUAAUUCUUAUCCAUUACUUUUCUUCUUUCUUUCUAUACCACACAAAUAUAUAUAACAUUUAAUUAAUAUAUUAUAAUAUUAGGUAGUAAUACAAAAUAUCUCAAUUGAUAAUUUGUCUUCUAG
rnacentral:lncRNA from 1 species